UGGGGAAUUUUGGACGAAUUGGGCGAAAGCCUGAUCCAGCAAUGCCGCGUGUGUGAAGAAGGCCUUCGGGUUGUAAAGCACUUUUGUCCGGAAAGAAAUCCUUGGCUCUAAUACAGUCGGGGGAUGACGGUACCGGAAGAAUAAGCACCGGCUAACUACGUGCCAGCAGCCGCGGUAAUACGUAGGGUGCAAGCGUUAAUCGGAAUUACUGGGCGUAAAGCGUGCGCAGGCGGUUUGCUAAGACCGAUGUGAAAUCCCCGGGCUCAACCUGGGAACUGCAUUGGUGACUGGCAGGGCUAGAGUAUGGCAGAGGGGGGUAGAAUUCCACGUGUAGCAGUGAAAUGCGUAGAGAUGUGGAGGAAUACCGAUGGCGAAGGCAGCCCCCUGGGCAAUACUGACGCUCAUGCACGAAAGCGUGGGGAGCAAACAGGAUUAGAUACCCUGGUAGUCCACGCCCUAAACGAUGUCAACU
rnacentral:rRNA from 1 species